AUAAAAAGAAAAUAAAGUCUUUCUUUAGACGCCCUCCCUCUCAAAGCCUUAGGGGAGGAAAGUGCAGCCCUCUGCUUGCUGAUGAUGAAAUUAGUGGGCGCUCACCAUUCAAGACAAAGGCAAGAAAGGACUGGAAUCUGAUGUCAAAUGCCACAGAAGAGAAUAUAUUUUACACAGCAUAUUAGGCCCCAACGCAAAUUAGAAGAAAUAUGGGGAGCCUUCAAAAAGGAUAAAGAGUCUGUCCUCUAAGAAGCCCAGCUCCAGAUGCCACAUUACUCAGCACAAGGGCCCUUCACCAUGACUAGACUCAUUUCCACAGCUAGAGAACCGUGUUCUCAGGUACAGCAAUGUUACUGCGUGACCUUGGAGUAUGAUGUCCGCCCUGGAAACCUGGAAGCAACCCUUUUCAGGCUGGCCUUCGCUCAUCAGGGAAGUCUCGCUCACCACACUUAAGCUAUAUAAGACAGAGCAGUACUCACCUUGGUGGUAUAAAAUUAAAGACUAAAUGAAGCAAGCAACAGACUUCAAAAGAAGAGCCAUCCCCUCCGCAAAGGAAGGAGCUGAGAACAAAAAUCCUCCGGAACAGCCCCCAUCGCUUUCCCUUUGUCAUUAGUGAGCCCCUGAAGACGGAUUCCUGUUUGACAUGGAGCCUGUACUUUUGACAGAGUCCCUGAACAUGACCCCUAAAUUGAUUUUAAAUCCCUCUUCAGAAGAAACAGAAAUGAUAAAACACACAGCAUCUUUUAGAGACCAUCUGCCAGAAACCACUCAACAGAUGGGGGCUUAAAACUCUGUUAGCCUCCAGCCUGCCAGUCUUUGUUUAAACUUUAAGAGAACUGCAGGUGUUAAAUGGGCCCCCAGGAUUGCAGACCACUUCAGGGCAUAGGUUCUAAUGAGGAUUCUGUGAGAAUUGCUAGACAAUUGGAUCAGGACAGGCCUGAAAGGCUCCAACCAAGCCCAUUUUAUGGUUCACGUCUAGGUCUUGAGAUACUUAAAAUCUCCCUCUAAAAUAAAAAAAAAUGCUUAGA